UUAAAAAAAGGGCUUGGACAUCGGACGUUUUCGCAUACAUUGCAAAAAUCUGCCCAAAAACCAUUAUUUUUGACCCCUCCAAAAACCUUUAAACUAGAGUAAAACAUAAUGUCAGACCUCCAGUAACACGAAAAAAAAUAUUUCUCUUUUCUUCGAGGCUUCAGUGAAAGUUACGUGACGGCGGAAGAAGAAAAAUAAUGGACAUCGGACGUUUUCGCAUACUUUGAGAUUGCCCCUCAAGAUAUGUGUUCAGGAUUGCCUAGAAUGCAUGAAAUCGAUUAGAAUUAUAUAAAGUAGGGUGAAAUUAUUCAUCUUCAGAGGGUCCUGAACGAGAAUCCAAAUUUGCCUAAGUGUUAAAGUUAGGUAAAAAGUGUGAUAAACCUUCUGUUCCUAAAACAAAACUCGCGUCCCCUGAGAUCAUCGAAAGUGGCUGUUUGUGUUUCACUUAGGCCAAAACAUCCCCCCUAGACUCUCUCCCCCCCCCU